rnacentral:rRNA from 1 species
ACAGAUGACUCCCGUCUUGUCACUCAUCGCCCGCCGCACAUCUUCCGUGCGGACCUCGCCUUCAACCGCCUCUACGAACCUGACGCGCACUCCGCGAUGAAGCCAUGUCAUAGUGGAAACAGGAAACUCCAGGUCUGAGGAGAUAACUUCACCACGCUUAUCAAGCGCGUCGACGAUGAGGUUCAUGCCCUGCGACGUAUUGGUGGUGAACGCAAUCUCGUCCGCUUCGGCGUUGAUAAA